AACGGCGAGUGAAGCGGGAAGAGCUCAAAUUUGAAAUCUUCAAGGUUCUACCUUGACGAAUUGUAGUUUAAAGAAGUGUUUUCUGUUAGAUGAGUAGCAAAAGUUCCUUGGAAUGGGACAUCAUAGAGGGUGAGAAUCCCGUAUUUGGUUAUUCAUUCUAGCUUUGUGAUACACUUUCAAAGAGUCGGAUUGUUUGGGAAUGCAGUCCAAAAUGGGUGGUAAAUUUCAUCUAAAGCUAAAUAUUGGCGAGAGACCGAUAGCGAACAAGUACCGUGAGGGAAAGAUGAAAAGAACUUUGAAAAGAGAGUUAAACAGUACGUGAAAUUGUCAAAAGGGAAGCGUUUGACACCAGUGUUGUUUUUCCGAAAAUCAAUUACGAAUGGCUUGAUUUUGUGUUGUAUUGACCUUAUCAGCUUUCUGCACUUUUUUCGAGUCUUUCUUAAUGCACUUUUCGGUUAACAAGUCAACAUCAAUUUCUUUUGUUGUAAAAGAGUAUUCGGAAGGUGGCUUUCUUUUCGGAGAAAGUGUUUAUAGCCCUAUACUUCUACAAUCGGAGAGAUUGAGGUCUGCAGCGUAGAUCCUUCGGGGUUAGAUACACUUGUGCUAAGUUGUAGCUUUUCAUAGACAACUUGUAGACUAUGUUUAGUCAUGCGGCUUACUCGCUUGUGCUAUUUUACCUAC
rnacentral:rRNA from 1 species